GGGUGAGUAAUGCUUAGGAAUCUGCCUAUUAGUGGGGGACAACAUUUCGAAAGGAAUGCUAAUACCGCAUACGUCCUACGGGAGAAAGCAGGGGAUCUUCGGACCUUGCGCUAAUAGAUGAGCCUAAGUCGGAUUAGCUAGUUGGUGGGGUAAAGGCCUACCAAGGCGACGAUCUGUAGCGGGUCUGAGAGGAUGAUCCGCCACACUGGGACUGAGACACGGCCCAGACUCCUACGGGAGGCAGCAGUGGGGAAUAUUGGACAAUGGGCGCAAGCCUGAUCCAGCCAUGCCGCGUGUGUGAAGAAGGCCUUAUGGUUGUAAAGCACUUUAAGCGAGGAGGAGGCUACUUUAGUUAAUACCUAGAGAUAGUGGACGUUACUCGCAGAAUAAGCACCGGCUAACUCUGUGCCAGCAGCCGCGGUAAUACAGAGGGUGCAAGCGUUAAUCGGAUUUACUGGGCGUAAAGCGCGCGUAGGCGGCUAAUUAAGUCAAAUGUGAAAUCCCCGAGCUUAACUUGGGAAUUGCAUUCGAUACUGGUUAGCUAGAGUGUGGGAGAGGAUGGUAGAAUUCCAGGUGUAGCGGUGAAAUGCGUAGAGAUCUGGAGGAAUACCGAUGGCGAAGGCAGCCAUCUGGCCUAACACUGACGCUGAGGUGCGAAAGCAUGGGGAGCAAACAGGAUUAGAUACCCUGGUAGUCCAUGCCGUAAACGAUGUCUACUAGCCGUUGGGGCCUUUGAGGCUUUAGUGGCGCAGCUAACGCGAUAAGUAGACCGCCUGGGGAGUACGGUCGCAAGACUAAAACUCAAAUGAAUUGACGGGGGCCCGCACAAGCGGUGGAGCAUGUGGUUU
rnacentral:rRNA from 1 species